GACUCGAUGGCGGACGGUCCGCGCCUGCUCCUCGUGGGUCUGUGGGUUUAGUCCUAGCAGGAGGCUGGUUCAAUUCCGGCUCGAGUCA